rnacentral:rRNA from 1 species
UGAGUAACCUGCCCUGUACACACGGAUAACAUACCGAAAGGUAUGCUAAUACGAGAUAAUAUGCUUUUAUCGCAUGGUAGAAGUAUCAAAGCUUUUGCGGUGCAGGAUGGACCCGCGUCUGAUUAGCUAGUUGGUGAGGUAACGGCUCACCAAGGCGACGAUCAGUAGCCGACCUGAGAGGGUGAUCGGCCACAUUGGAACUGAGACACGGUCCAAACUCUACGGGAG